AUGCACCCAUGUCACCGGUGCCUCACCACAAUCCACGAACUGUGCCUCUGCAGCCGGCUUCUGGGAGCCCAGCACGUCGCUGCCCACCAGGAGGAGGAGGAUGCUGCGGAAGAGCUUGUAGGCUUCAUCCAGAGCCGCCUCAGGGGUCUUCGGCCCUGCACCAGGAUGGCCGUGGGUGACGGGGCUGUCCCCCCAGCACCCACCCCCAGCCCCCAAUCAAAUGGGGCUGUUUCAGGGGACAGCCACGCUUAUGCAGGGCUCCAGUGGCUCACCCUGCGUGGAGAUGCGCUGCCUGAGCUCUGGCGAGAGGCGGCUGGGUGGCAGGCUGAGGUAGAGAGCAGUGAGUUGCAAGACUUGUGCUCGGAGCAUGUACCACACCUUGGCCGCCUUCUGCAGAGCCGGGUUCUGGAGCACCUCCAGCAGGAGGGCAAGGCCCUCCUCGACCUGCAGGAGGCAGCAGAGAAGGGAAAAGAGGCACCGGUCACCGCGUGGAGCAUCUUUGGGGCUAACGUGGGCACAGGCCACCAGCAAAAUCGCAGACAGAGCUGCCGAGGUCUCCUCUUGCCCCCUAACACCACACACGAGGCAGAAAAGGGUUUCUGGGAAGACUCACCCGGUUGCUGGCGCAGCACAUCUGGCUGCGGAGCACCAGGCAGGUUUGCUGCAGCAGCAGGUAGGAAUCGCUGCUGCUGUCGGCGUCCUGCAAGCAGGACUCUGUCUCCGCCAGGAAGAGCUGGAAGCCAAACAAGCCGGCGUGAGGGCUGGGGCUGUGGGGAGCAGCCGAGCUGCCCUCCCUCCCCGCUGCUCCCCUGCGGGCCUUGCCUCGGCGUAGCUGUGGCACUCGAGCUGGAGGAGCAGUUUGGUGACCUGGCAGAGGGCGCCGGCCAUGCCCAGCCUGUCCCCAAGCGCGCGGCACAGGGCUCGGACCAGCAGGUAGCUCUCUAUGGCUUGCAAAGGCUGGGGGGGAGAAAAACCCACGGGUGCGUCGAGGGACAAUGCUGGGGGGAGGCCGCUGCCCCCCUGGGCAGCCCCAGCAAUGCUACCUUGGCCAUCAGCCUAUAG
rnacentral:lncRNA from 1 species